GUAGGUGGCAAGCGUUGUCCGGAAUUAUUGGGCGUAAAGCGCGCGCAGGCGGUUCUUUAAGUCUGAUGUGAAAGCCCACGGGCUCAACCGUGGAGGGUCAUUGGAAACUGGAGAACUUGAGUACAGAAGAGGAAAGCGGAAUUCCACGUGUAGCGGUGAAAUGCGUAGUGAUGUGGAGGAACACCAGUGGCGAAGGCGGCUUUCUGGUCUGUAACUGACGCUGUGGCGCGAAAGCGUGGGGAGCAAACAGGAUUAGAUACCCUGGUAGUCCACGCCGUAAACGAUGAGUGCUAAGUGUUAGGGGGUUUCCGCCCCUUAGUGCCGCAGCUAACGCAUUAAGCACUCCGCCUGGGGAGUACGGCCGCAAAGGCUG
rnacentral:rRNA from 1 species